GUUCCCCUUUGUCCAACGCAAGUCAACUAAGUCACUUUCUCCAUUAACGAGAAGCCCCAAACCGUCUCAAAUCUCCAUUAACGCGAAGGAUGGACAACCCCCUCCCGCGGCCGCGCAGGCCCGUCGUCCUGAUCGCCUCCUGCGCGCUGAUCCUCCUCGCCACCGCCCUCCUCCUCCCGCGCGCUCCCGCCGUCCCGCCGCUGACCCCGGCCAUUCGCCUCGACCCGCGGGUCGCGCGCAGGAGCGGCAACGAGGUGCUGUGGCAGCUCCCCCCAGGCCCGCCGCGCGCCGCCAUGUUCAUCGCCCCCGGAUGCACCAUCCGCGCCACCGACUUCUUCGACGCCUCCCCCGGCUGCCCGCGCUGCGCGGGGCUCCCCGAGGAGCGCCGGUUCACGCGCGAGGCGCUCCGCCGAGGCUACGCCGUCCUCGCCGUCUCCAGCCGCGCCGAGUGCUGGUCCCUCGACCCCGCCUCCGCCUCCGGCGACGGCAGCGAGCUCGCCGCCGUCAGUUCCAUCAUCGAAUGGUGGGUCAAGGAGCAGCACCCCGAGCUCGGCGGCCUCCCGCUCGUCGGCAUCGGCGCGUCGUCGGGCGGGUACUUCGUCUCCGCUCUGGCGGCGAGGGUCAGGUUCAGCAGCGUGGCCAUCGUGAUUGCCGAGGGCGUGUUCGCCGCCAUGGAGGAAAUCCCGCCCGGCUACCCGCCGGCGCUGUUCGUGCACAUGCCCAGGGACGCCAAAAGGGCGCAGAUGGUGGCGGCAAGCAUAGGCAAGCUCAAGUCAACGCACGUUGAUGUGCGGGAGAUCCAGUGCGAUGCCUUUGCCGUGAGUGCCGACUUCUUGGCGGCGAGGAUACCGGGGUUGACCCCGACCGUCGCCGAUGGCCUUGUGGACGUGCUUCGCCAGAAGUCGUUCUUGGAUGAGAAGGGGUUUCUGAAGAACGAUGGGAGGAGCACACCGUGGAAAGAGGCGGCGGAGGAAGCCAAGAUCUUGCCGGAGGGGUUCCGGCUGGAGAGGCAUGUCACGGAGGAGUUGAAUAUUGCAUAUGCAUACCAUGAAUUUACCAGCCUGCAGAAUGAGGAGAUCUUCAAAUGGUUCGAUUCCCACAUGGAUCACAAGAUUUGAAGACACAUCAUUUCUAGAUGGCCAACUUGAUGUCGGAUUCAUGGAGAGUUGCUGGUUUUGAGAGGAUGCACCGUUAUGAUUCAUGGGAGGUGGAAAGAAAGCACAAUAUUCUUAGGGAUGCAGGUGGACGUCCCUGCCGUUUCCGUGUCUGUCCGCGCCGGACCAAGAUGUAUGUACUAAUCUCUGUUGCUGUAAUAUUCGUGCUAAUGCUGAAAUGAUUAACGCGGACCUAUUAGUCAGUCACUAGAAAAAUUGAUAGUCAAUUUUGUUACGACUAUUUGGUGUUCAAACUUCAAAGUAGUGCAUCCGGAGAUAUGAUCAUUGCAGUUUUUUCUUUUAUAUGUAGUUAUUACUCUGUUACUUGCAGUGUUAUCUUGUAUGUAAGUGGAUAGUGUCAAUUCAUUGAUAAACAAUCAGUCAGCAGUUGAGCACCGACAUCUGCAAAAAAAUGUUUGAAAUCACUUAUCGGUAGCUAUGUGCAUCUACAGCAAUAAACAACAAAAAAGAAUGCUAUUACUAAAUUCGUCCAUUUAACUGGACAUUCAGAUAUUAUUAAUUACCUCUCACCCAACCUUACCUUUACCCAAGUAAUGAUCUUUGUUUCUUCCAGAAGCUCUUGAUUUUGUUCCCAAUUCAUUUUUACACACCUUUUAUCAUAUUUAUUCUUACAUAUUUGUCCUUAUGCACGAUUCCAUGUGUACUGGGAUGGGGAUAGAGGAUGUGGAUUGAGCUAUUCGAGAGCAAUUCCUCUUAGGUAGUCUUUGCCCCUACAGUUGUUAUAAGUGCUUGCAUUGAAAGGUGCUUCGGUGAAAGAAGAGAAACUGAUCAUCCAUCUUUUUAACACGAGGGCUACUCUUUUGCAGGGAAAUCCGCUUUGUAACACUGAAAAUGUGUCAAUUAGAAAAAUAUCCCAGUGUGAGGAUGAUUAGUGAUGCAAUGGUGUUUUUUUGUUAGCAUUCAUAUUCAUUUUAGUGUUUGCUAGCAAUUUCGACAGAUGCAGAUUAACUUCUUUUCCCAUUAAAACGGCCAUGAUACUGUCGAGUUACUGACAUAGUACAUGUUCUAUGUCUAGAAUCAACAGGUUAAAUCCUGUGAAGAAGAUAAGCAGGGCUGAAGUUUUUCCUCCAGGAGAUUGACUCUUUUGGAGAAGUACUGAAGGGAAAGCUUCAACUCAUCUUGGAAGUUCUUGGGUUUAUGUGGUAUCAAACACCAAUCCCUUGUUUUAUGUGAACAUUGUGAAGUUUUGUGUACCGACUAGUUGUUUGAUGAGUUAUCCAAAUUUCUGAAUGAUUACACUUGUUUCUCUGACCAUUGGCAACAUGUGCUUUCGUCAUAGGAUUUUUGGGGUUCAACAGUAAGAUUCAAAGGUUGAACUAUGAAAUUUAGGAUAUCAGGGAAAAAGAUGGUUUUGUUACAGGAUUUUCUGGGAUUCAAGAACAAGGUUCAUAGGUCCUUUAACUAUGCAAUCGAAGAAUAACUAACUUUGUGGCAUUUGCUAGACUGCUUUGUCAAUUUGCCAAACCUUUGCUAGUCAAGUUUGGCCAUUCCAUUGCAGUUUUGUUAUGCCAUAGUUUCUUGCUAUGUAGCACACCUGUCGUAGACCCAAUGUUUUGCAAAACUUGCCUAUGGUGUGGCGAACAGUUUGUUAGCAACAUGAAGUGUUUGCUUGCCACAUUUUGCCACAAGGCCACAAGUAGGUGUGGUGAUAUUUAGAGUAUACAACCAAACUGCUCUAAACAGCUGACAUUUAUAAACUUCUUAUGUUGUAAACUGAGUAGCACUAGUCUGGUGUUUGAU